rnacentral:rRNA from 1 species
CGGGUGAGUAACACGUGGGUAACCUGCCCCGAUGAUUGGGACAACCCGAGGAAACUCGGGCUAAUACCGAAUGUGCCCUUCGACCGCAAGGUCGCUGGGGAAAGGAAGCUUCGGCCUCCGCAUCGGGAUGGGCCCGCGGCCCAUUAGCUUGUUGGUGAGGUAACGGCUCACCAAGGCGACGAUGGGUAGCUGGUCUGAGAGGACGAUCAGCCACACUGGGACUGAGACACGGCCCAG